rnacentral:tRNA from 2 species
GCCGAAGUGGCGGAAUGGCAUACGCGACGGACUCAAAAUCCGUUGGUCGCGAGACCUUGAGGGUUCAAGUCCCUCCUUCGGCACUA